AUGAGCACGUGCGCGCUUGCCGGCGAAGAUGAUAUUGAGGAAUCCCGUGAGCCGCGCGCCGGGGAAGGCCGGCUUGGGGAAGUCCUUGAGCUUGGCGCGGAUGGAGUCUUCCGCCAGCUUCUUGAUCUUGUUCUAAGGCUUGGGCAUGGGUGGCCCUCCGUGCACGGUGGUGCGGAUGGGGCGCAGGCGGCCGUUGUUGAACGGCAACCCGCUGUAGCUGGAGCACUGGGACGAGCUGGACGUGGUGGCGUGCGGCCCCGGAGCCGUGCGCGGACAUGGGUCCAACUUAAUUGUUCCUCAAAACAGCUGACCGUGCCCUGCCGCCCGACCGUGCCGGGCCCGCCACUCUGCCCCCCUUCUUCUUCGGUGGCGGCGGAUCUUGUGUUCUCGGUGGCGGUGGCGGAGCCCUCGUUCUCAACGGUGGCGGAGCCUUCGUCCUCAGAAAAUGUAAUAGCCGAAGAGGGACAGGUGACUGGAACUGAAACUGAAACUGCAGCAACUGUUGAUUGGAAUGUAGUUGAAUUAGAUGAGCCUACUGAUUUGGUCAUUGCACCAAUGCCUGACAUUGAGAUGGCCAAACUUUUUGGCAUUCCAGUCGAUGAUAGAGAUAAGCAGGAGAGGGGCGAAUCUAGUUUGCCUGCUAAUGCUGAUGAAGAAGUAGAUGGACAGUUGAUGGAACAAACUGCAGAUGAAGUAGAUGAUGCACAUGAUGAUGAGCUGGUGCAUGUGUAUGACAAAGAAAACACUGUCAUUGAAGUAGGCAAGUUGUUCCCAAGCAUGAAGGAGUUUAGGAUGUGUUUCAAGACUUAUGCAGUGAAACAUGCGUUUGAUGCCAAGACUGUUUGGACUGAUAGAAAGAAGUUUUAUGCGAGGUGCAGAGGAUUUGAUGGUAUUGUGAAGCCUUGCAAGUGGAGGAAGCGAGCAAGUCAGCCCCUUGUUGUUGAACAGUGUUGGCCAACAAAAAAAGCAAGAGUCAAUGGCGGUAGAAAGAAAAGAAGUGUGCCUGAGCCUGAGCAGACUGAAGAAAAUCCUGCUGCAGUCAACAUUCAGACUGAAGAAACUGCUCUCGAGGUUGAAACUGAACCUGAGCGUGUCGAGGUUCAGACUGAAGAAACCCAUGUUGAGGUACACACCGAAGAAACUAAAACUGCUGUCAACAUUGAGACUGAAGACACUGAUCACGAGGGUGUUGGCGAGGUGUUGAAAAGACCAGUGAAGAAAACCAAGAUGAUCAGUGAACUUGUGUGUGUAGUAGAACCAAAAACAAGAAGUGCUAAGGCGAAGAAGGGCACGCACGUGGUAGGAGAGCCGGGCACUAUCGUCUUCCUCUCCCUCCUCAUCCACACCCCAUCCUCUGCCUCCUCUGCCCUCCUUCUUCCUUCUUCUCCAUCAAACCCGAUCGAGCCCUCGAGCCACCCCGCCACCAUGCAAUACAAUGGCCCCACCUACCGCUUCCCCCCAACCGUGCCAGAAAGGCUCUACCCGGCCGGAGUGUAUGUAGAGAGAACCCUUAGGGUUUGGGCGAUCUCGAGGUGGAGGGGCGCAAGGGAGUUAACGGAGUUCUUCCUUGCGGCCGGCUUCCGCCACCUCCCCCGCGGCUCUCCUCGGAUGUACCAUCUUGAGGAGGUCAACCACAACGGCGUUGUGGUUGGGCUCCUCGCCACGUUCACUAACCCUUUCGAUGCUUUCCAUCUCCUCGGGCGAGCGUAUUGGGUUGGUUGUGAGUUCAUAGCUUUCACAACCUACAAUAUCUUCACCGACUUCAACGGCAUCUUCCCCAACAACGGCGUUAUGCACACGCUCCCAUACCCCAUCAACAACGGGGAGGAGUGA
rnacentral:rRNA from 1 species